GGGCGAGUAGCUCAGUUUGGUUAGAGCGCCUGCCUUACACGCAGGAUGUCGGGGGUUCGAGUCCCUCCUCGCCCA
rnacentral:tRNA from 1 species